AGAGUUUGAUCAUGGCUCAGGAUGAACGCUGGCGGCGUGCUUAACACAUGCAAGUCGAACGAUGAAGCCCAGCUUGCUGGGUGGAUUAGUGGCGAACGGGUGAGUAACACGUGAGUAACCUGCCCUUAACUCUGGGAUAAGCCUGGGAAACUGGGUCUAAUACCGGAUAGGAGCGUCCACCGCAUGGUGGGUGUUGGAAAGAUUUAUCGGUUUUGGAUGGACUCGCGGCCUAUCAGCUUGUUGGUGAGGUAAUGGCUCACCAAGGCGACGACGGGUAGCCGGCCUGAGAGGGUGACCGGCCACACUGGGACUGAGACACGGCCCAGACUCCUACGGGAGGCAGCAGUGGGGAAUAUUGCACAAUGGGCGAAAGCCUGAUGCAGCGACGCCGCGUGAGGGAUGACGGCCUUCGGGUUGUAAACCUCUUUCAGUAGGGAAGAAGCGAAAGUGACGGUACCUGCAGAAGAAGCACCGGCUAACUACGUGCCAGCAGCCGCGGUAAUACGUAGGGUGCGAGCGUUAUCCGGAAUUAUUGGGCGUAAAGAGCUCGUAGGCGGUUUGUCGCGUCUGUCGUGAAAGUCCGGGGCUUAUCCCCGGGAUCUGCGGUGGGUACGGGCAGACUAGAGUGCAGUAGGGGAGACUGGAAUUCCUGGUGUAGCGGUGGAAUGCGCAGAUAUCAGGAGGAACACCGAUGGCGAAGGCAGGUCUCUGGGCUGUAACUGACGCUGAGGAGCGAAAGCAUGGGGAGCGAACAGGAUUAGAUACCCUGGUAGUCCAUGCCGUAAACGUUGGGCACUAGGUGUGGGGACCAUUCCACGGUUUCCGCGCCGCAGCUAACGCAUUAAGUGCCCCGCCUGGGGAGUACGGCCGCAAGGCUAAAACUCAAAGGAAUUGACGGGGGCCCGCACAAGCGGCGGAGCAUGCGGAUUAAUUCGAUGCAACGCGAAGAACCUUACCAAGGCUUGACAUGUUCUCGAUCGCCGUAGAGAUACGGUUUCCCCUUUGGGGCGGGUUCACAGGUGGUGCAUGGUUGUCGUCAGCUCGUGUCGUGAGAUGUUGGGUUAAGUCCCGCAACGAGCGCAACCCUCGUUCCAUGUUGCCAGCACGUAGUGGUGGGGACUCAUGGGAGACUGCCGGGGUCAACUCGGAGGAAGGUGAGGACGACGUCAAAUCAUCAUGCCCCUUAUGUCUUGGGCUUCACGCAUGCUACAAUGGCCGGUACAAUGGGUUGCGAUACUGUGAGGUGGAGCUAAUCCCAAAAAGCCGGUCUCAGUUCGGAUUGGGGUCUGCAACUCGACCCCAUGAAGUCGGAGUCGCUAGUAAUCGCAGAUCAGCAACGCUGCGGUGAAUACGUUCCCGGGCCUUGUACA
rnacentral:rRNA from 1 species